UGAGAAAAUGGCAUGCCAAAUCAUUAAGUCCUUUCUCUGUAAUCACCAAAUCUGGUUUAAACUUCAAUAUCUGCAUGCAGAGCUCCUCAAUGGGCAACUACAUCUUUGUUUAUCAUAACUCCUUUAAGAACUCUUGAAUCCUCCAGCUGCCCACCAGGGUAAGGUUAUGUACAUCAAAUUCCCCAACCCCAAGUAGGUGGGAGACUCAUGCAGUGAAUUUUCACAAGUCAGAAUGAAGAUAAAAGAAAAAAGAAGACAAAUUUGAAAUUUAAAAAUCUUGCCCAUGCAGUAGAGGAUACUCACAGCAACUAAAUCCCCAAAUUGACUAGUGAAUUUGGUACCUAUGCAGCUUUUGACUAUCCCCAGCAUUGUACCUCCUGCAGUUUUAUUCAUGUUAAGACUGUGUCAAAGAAGAAACUAAAUAUCAGUAGUUAUGUAUAUAUAUAAGGAUUUACUAAC